UUCGCCCUCCCUUAGUCGCUUCUUCUUACUCUCAUGGGAAAGGAAGGGAUGGUCUAUUCUAUGCGGGGACCACACGGUCGGAAGUGAUUACAUAUGAUCCCAUAAAUGAUAAUAUGACACCAAGAAAUUAAAUGUAAUAUUUUUAUUACAGGAAGAAGCUCUCAGUUUGAGUACUACAGAUCACCCGUCGACGAGCCGCGGAGACACGUAUAGGAAAUGUAGUAGUUAACGUUAGUUAUAAACUUAUAGUUUUUAUGGCGGCGAAUGUAAAGAUAAGGGGGCGGGGGAUUGUUAGUGAUCCAGACUAGCGAGUCCUAUUGCUAGCACUGUACCCUGUUAGAUCGAUCACCACGUAGUCCUACCGGAAACCAUCGUGCUCUAUUCCAGGUGUAUUCAUCACGAUGGGCUAACUGACCUGCCUUUUCAUUCUCACUUAUUACUUGUCACUGGUGUCCUGCCAGUGUAUACCGUUAGCGCAGGCGGGGUUACCAUUAGAUUUUCCUUCAUUAAAAAAAAUAUAUAUGAAAACUUAACCCUACAUUAUGACCCUACAUAAUUCACUUUAUUAUGUCUUGAUGGAAUAAAAGUAAUAAUAAUAUAAUGAUAAAACUUUUUAAUUACUUAAAAUAAGCAAAAUACAUAUAGAGUGAAAUUAAAGCGCGGCCACAUAAGAAAACGCAUGGAAGCCAAAAGAAGUAAUGACAGCGAAUGAAACUAGAUGGCGCUGUGUCGUUCACUUUCAACAUAUCUUUAUGAAUCUAUUUCAAAAAAGAGUUUGUUAGCUCAUAACUUUGUCUUUUAUAUAGGUUUAUAAAAGACAAUGUUUUGAGCUAACAAACUUUGGAAAAUUCUUGUCAUUGGAAACCCAAUCAGCCAAUCGUGAUGAAUUCCACAAGCAUUAACCGCGAAGGUUUCAAGGGGAAAGGGGGCCAUUAGACCCCUUCCCUCCGCAGGGCGAUGCUUAUUUUAGUUUACCUCCGAUAAUGCAUCUUUUAUAAUCGUCGCCAUUUCUACUAAUUUAAGGUUGUAACCUAACUUACUGGUUUAUAGAGAUAUUAUUUGCAAACUUAACGAACACUCGAACGUUUCAAUUUGUAAUUACAGUUUAAAUAAAAAAAAA
rnacentral:lncRNA from 1 species